CGGGUAGUAUUGGCAACUCUGAACAUUGUUUUACAUCCUUACCAUUUUGAGAUGAUGGUGGGAGAAGGGACAACUCUUUUGAAAGAUUUGACAAAGAUGCCAGGGUCGAUGCAACUGCUACAGUGGAGGGAUCCCUGGACCUUGCCUCAAGAUGCAGUCCUUUGAAUGAUCCACUAUGAGCUUCCAAUAUACUAACAGGAGACUGCUACAGUGGAGGGGUCCCUGGACCUUGCCUCAAGAUGCAGUCCUUUGAAUGAUCCACUAUGAGCUUCCAAUAUGCUAACAGGACGAGCAAAACUUGCAGCAGAUAAGUUGUCAUCAAAGAU
rnacentral:lncRNA from 1 species